rnacentral:rRNA from 1 species
GACGUAGGGUGCGAGCGUUGGCCGGAUUUAUUGGGCGUAAAGAGCUCGUAGGCGGCUCGUCGCGUCGACCGUGAAAACCCGCAGCUUAACUGCGGGCUUGCGGUUAAUACGGGCGGGCUAGAGUUCGGUAGGGGAGACUGGAAUUCCUGGUGUAGCGGUGAAAUGCGCAGAUAUCAGGAGGAACACCGGUGGCGAAGGCGGGUCUCUGGGCCGAUACUGACGCUGAGGAGCGAAAGCGUGGGGAGCGAACAGG